rnacentral:rRNA from 1 species
AACGAACGCUGGCGGCAUGCCUAACACAUGCAAGUCGAACGAGACCUUCGGGUCUAGUGGCGCACGGGUGCGUAACGCGUGUGAACCUGCCCUUAGGUUCGGAAUAACUCCCCGAAAGGGGUGCUAAUACCGGAUAAUGUCUUCGGACCAAAGAUUUAUCGCCUUUGGAUGGGCCCGCGUUGGAUUAGCUAGUUGGUAGGGUAAAAGCCUACCAAGGCGACGAUCCAUAGCUGGUCUGAGAGGAUGAUCAGCCACACUGGGACUGAGACACGGCCCAGACUCCUACGGGAGGCAGCAGUGGGGAAUAUUGGACAAUGGGCGAAAGCCUGAUCCAGCAAUGCCGCGUGAGUGAUGAAGGCCUUAGGGUUGUAAAGCUCUUUUACCCGGGAUGAUAAUGACAGUACCGGGAGAAUAAGCGCCGGCUAACUCCGUG